rnacentral:rRNA from 1 species
UAGGGAAUCUUCCGCAAUGGACGAAAGUCUGACGGAGCAACGCCGCGUGAGUGAAGAAGGAUUUCGGUUCGUAAAACUCUGUUGUUAGGGAAGAAAAAAUGUAUAGUAACUAUAUACAAAAGAGACGGUACCUAACCAGAAAGCCACGGCUAACUACGUGCCAGCAGCCGCGGUAAUACGUAGGUGGCAAGCGUUGUCCGGAAUUAUUGGGCGUAAAGCGCGCGCAGGUGGUUUAGAAAGUCUGAUGUGAAAGCCCACGGCUCAACCGUGGAGGGUCAUUGGAAACUAAUAAACUUGAGUGCAAGAGAGAAAAGUGGAAUUCCUAGUGUAGCGGUGAAAUGCGUAGAGAUUAGGAGGAACACCGGUGGCGAAAGCGGCUUUUUGGCCUGCAACUGACACUGAGGCGCGAAAGCGUGGGGAGCAAACAGG